rnacentral:rRNA from 1 species
UACGUAGGGUGCAAGCGUUGCCCGGAUUUAUUGGGCGUAAAGGGCGUGUAGGCGGCCGUACAGGUCAGCUGUGAAAACUCGAGGCUCAACCUCGAGACGUCGGUUGAAACCGUACGGCUAGAGUCCGGAAGAGGAGAGUGGAAUUCCCGGUGUAGCGGUGAAAUGCGCAGAUAUCGGGAAGAACACCCGUGGCGAAGGCGGCUCUCUGGGACGGUACUGACGCUGAGACGCGAAAGCGUGGGGAGCGAACAGG